rnacentral:rRNA from 1 species
AGGGUUUGAUUAUGGCUCAGGAUGAACGCUGGCGGCGUGCUUAACACAUGCAAGUCGAACGAAGCAAUCUAACGGAAGUUUUCGGAUGGAAGCUGGAUUGACUGAGUGGCGGACGGGUGAGUAACGCGUGGGUAACCUGCCUCACACUGGGGGACAACAGUUAGAAAUGACUGCUAAUACCGCAUAAGCGCACGGGAUCGCAUGGUCCGGUGUGAAAAACUCCGGUGGUGUGAGAUGGACCCGCGUUUGAUUAGCUAGUUGGUGGGGUAACGGCCUACCAAGGCGACGAUCAAUAGCCGACCUGAGAGGGUGACCGGCCACAUUGGGACUGAGACACGGCCCAA